GUUUCCUUAGCUCAUUUGGAAGAGCGUCAGACUGAAGAUCUGAAGGUACCGAGUUCGAACCUCGGAGGAAACA
rfam:Edhazardia aedis TSNM 41457 supercont1.16, whole genome shotgun sequence.